rnacentral:lncRNA from 1 species
GAGGGCACGGCUUCUUAGUAAAUGGAGGAAUCUUCGGAAGAGGAGGAAGUGGCUUGUGAGGAAUAGGAGGGAAGGGUUUCGGUUUGUAAAUAGGAACCGGCGGUGGAAGCGGCUUCUUAUAAACCGGCACCGGAUGAGGCUUAUAAACCGGUGGUUUGUAGACAGGAACCGGCGGUGGAAGCGGCUUCUUAUAAACCGGCACCGGAGGAGGCUUAUAAACCGGUGGUUUGUAGACAGGAACCGGUGGAGGGAGUGGUUUCUUGUAGACCGGCACCGGAUGAGGCUUAUAAACCGGUGGUGGAAGAGGUUUCUUGUAGAUGGGAGGGUGAGGGUAAUGAUGGUGGAAGCUUUUCAAUGGCGGAAGUGGUGGAAGCUUAGGCAAUGGAGGGAAGUUGUGGUGGUGGUGAGGCCAAAAGGAGGCUGAGACACAUGUUAUUGGUGAGAAUUUGAGGUUCUCUUUUAACCCAAACUGGUGUUUCUGGUCGGUGGUGGAUUUGAAAACUAGCUUAGAGGAUUCUAAGCCAUUAAUGGAAGGGCAAGGUUGAGGUGAUGAUACAGUGUGAAGCUGUGCGUAGCAAUGUUCAUUCAAUUUGCCAUCUUUGAACAAGUGUUGUGGAAGAGAGACUUUGAAAUUGCCUUGUUUGUCAAGCUUUCCAGACCCUCUGGUUUUGAAAUGGUCAUCAUUUUCUGGCUUGCAAUCUAUGGUUACACGAAGACCUAGAAAGAGAAAACGCCAUUAACAUAACAUCAUAAAUAUUGCUUCAAAUUAAAGAAAGGGAGAAUACACCAUUAACAUAACAUCAUAAAGUUUAAUUUUCUAAUGUUAAAAAAAUGUUAGUGUGAUGGUUCAGUGGUAGUGUCCAGAUUUAUACGCUAAUAAUGAAUAAAAUAAAGACCUCUUUUUACUAUUUUUUAUAGCUUUUGUCUUACUCAUGACUAAAAUUUAUUUGAUCCAUGGUUUAUCUAUAAAAUUUACGAGUUUAAAUUUUUGGGGAGAAGUGUAUCUUUAUUUUUUUGGAUGUAGUGUGUAGUGUGGAUUUAUCCCUAUCAUGAGUGCUUGAGUAUCAACUCUUUAAUUGACCAUUGUCAAUAAAAAAGUAUGUACAUAUAAUUGAGUUUGAAUUCGGAUAUGUAUGUAUCUCAAUCUUAGUGUAAUAUGUGUGUCGAGGAGAGGUGGCGCUCUGGGUUAAUCUUGGACCUUCAACGAAGGUAUUGUUCUCUAGAUUUCUAUGCUUAAUUUUAGCUGAGUUUUUGUCUCUUAACUUUGAAGGGAGUCUAAAAGGGUUCAUGAAAUUUGAUGGAGCGCCUACUCCACCAAAGAAAUGUUUAACAUUUGGCCUUAAUGGGUUUUGAAUCCAUGCCCUUAUAUGGCAUUAGUGGGUAAGAACUAGACCUGUUCAUGGAUCGGAUUAUCGCCCAAGCCCAAAGGCCCAUCAAAAAUUUGAAAGAAUUUAUUAGGCCCAAAAAAAUAGAUUUAGGCAAAAAAAAAUUAGGCCAAUGUAUAAUAUGGGUCGGGCUCGAGGCUUGAACAUUCAAGGCCUGAGGCCUCGAGCCUGACCCGACCCAUUUUUAAGUUUAUAAUACUUUAUAUUAUGUUAUUUUUAUAUAUUAUAUAAUUUAGAACACAUUAAAAAAAAUAAACCUAUACUAAAUAUAUAAUAGUACUGUUAUAUAAAUAUUAAAAUAAAGUUCAGAUGACUAUAUAAAAAAUUUUAAUAAAUAAAAAAAGUAUAAAAUUAUUAAAUAGUAAAAUAAUAUAAAAUAAAUAUUUUUAAAAAAAUUAAAAAAUAAUAUGGGCGGACCUAAAAUAGGCUUAGAUUAGUCUUUUGCAAAUAUAGAGGAGUUUGAGUAAAAUUUUAAGCCUAUAUUUUGGGUCGAAUCAGACUUGGACAAGUAUAAAGUAUAUUAACAUUAUGGCUAGCCCGGCUUGAACUAGUCCAUGAACACCUCUAGUAAGAGACAAAACUCACAGCUAAUCAAAUAUAAACACCCAAAAAUAAUUCUUCCACUGAGGAUCCAAAACCGACCCAAACAACGAACUACUCUCAACAAUAUAGGCCACUACAACAAGCAAGGAAUGGCCUGGAGAUUAAUUGAGCAGCUUAGAUGAAAACAAUACCUGAAAAUGCUUGGGUGGUGUCCAAGUUAUUCUCUUUGCAAUCUGCACAUUCACCAACCCCGACCACUUCAACUGUUUUACCAUCACCGUUAGCAUUGCAAAACGUGGUCACAAAUAAUACUGACCAUACUGUGAACGCCACAAGUGCUCUUCCUCGAAACUCGAGGUUCUCCAUUGUUAUUGCUUCUGUGGUAGUGAUAUGAUAUCAGAGAUUGGAUACCGAAGCCUUAUUAUAUAAUGGUCUUCAAAAGGGAUCGUUGGAUCACCAUUUUCAAUGGCUUACCGACACCACACUUAAAUGCCUCACAUAAGGUUAGGGAACGGGACCCUCACCACC